AACGCACAUUGCACUCCUUGGUAUUCCGAGGAGUAUGCCUGUUUCAGUAUCAUGAGCACUCUCACAACUAACCUUUGGGUUAUGAUGUGGAAUUGGGAUGCGCCGGUUUUCAUUAAUCGGCACUCCUAAAAUGUAGCUCUUGGCUGUUUCCUACUACAGCAGUUUGGCCUAAUAGUUUUGACUUUUGUCAAAUCUUUGGCUACAUUUGCUUCUGGAAGUCAGUCUUGAUAAUACAGAAAACUCAUUUCAAACUUUGAUCUGAAAUCAGGUAGGGCUACCCGCUGAACUUAA
rnacentral:misc_RNA from 1 species